CUACUACUAUCAGCAAUAGAGCAUUAAUCUAGCCCAUAUGUACGCACACACACACACACAUAUACUGAGACAUGGCUUUAUAGCCACACAUCUGCACACACACACACACACAUACACACACAGCAGCCAUUCUGUGUUUGAAAUGCAAUAUUAUGCCAGAAGCAGGGAUCGUCACAGUGCUGCUGCUGCUGAACAUAUCCUCACGUCCUCAUCAAUUCUUGACGUGUUCUCAAUGAGCAGGCAGCUUUUUAACACAAACCGUACCUCGGCACAUUUGAAAUCAACUAUCAGUUUUGUACUUUUUCCUUUGUGUGUGUGAGAGGAUUUUAUCACUUAAGGCCGCGGUUUGUUAGGCCUACGGGACAGAUCAGUGACUCAUUUUAUCAGUGUGUGUUGGGCCGUGUGCUCCCGGUUGGUGCUGGGCCAGAGCUGGGCCAGAGCUGGGCCAGAGCUGGGCCGAGUCCGGAGCCCGCGGCUAACGGCACCUCUUCUCUCAGGGCGGCCACCAGCGGCCGAGGACUCCUGUGUCGGACGCGCUCUCAUCUCAUGGAGUUUUAAAAAAAGGGACAGGGACUCCUGCAAGAGUCACGUUCUUCUCUUUUGACUUGUUGUUGUUGUUUUUGUUAUUGUUGUUGUUGUUUUUGUUAUGGUUUAAGUCGUGCAUUGUUUCUCGCUGGACUUUAUACAUCAUCAUUCCUUGCUACGUUGGAUUCUUUUCGGAUAGGUACACAUUUCAGUGUCAACGCUUAUUUAAAAUAACACUUGUCUCCUACCUCAUCUAACAUUCAGUAAUAAGAGGGAACCACAGGGGUUAGCAUAAGCCAUGGAGCAGUUAGCAUAGGCCAUGAAGGAGUUAGCAUAGGCCAUGGAGGAGUUAGCAUAGGCCAUGGAGGGGUUAGCAUAGGCCAUGGAGGAUCGCAACAGCAGGGGUUAGCAUACGCCAUGGAGGGGUUAGCAUAGGCCAUUGAGGAUCGCAACAGCAGGGGUUAGCAUACGCCAUGGAGGUUCGCUACAGCAGGGGUUAGCAGAGGCUGCUCUGAGGGUACUGAUGACAUGGCUGCUGGUGUCGUAUGAAGCAGUGCCGAGUGCGUUUAGUUUUGGCCGAUUUCAGUAUUCGUUCAGGU
ensembl:lncRNA